rnacentral:sRNA from 1 species
GGCGCAGCUGUUGCGGGGCCAUGGCGGGGACGGCGCUCAAGAGGCUGAUGGCCGAGUACAAACCCUUGAGAACGUGCAGUGAGAGCUUGAGGAAGAAGGCCUGACUUGCUGCUGCGGAAUUAGGAGGGAAAAGUGUAUGCGUUAAAAGGGGAAAGGCUCGUUGGUGGAGCUUUGAAAGAAUUAACACUGAAUCCUCCGGAAGGAAUUGUAGCAGGCCCCAUGAAUGAAGAGAACUUUUUUGAAUGGGAGGCAUUGAUCAUGGGCCCAGAAGACACCUGCUUUGAGUUUGGUGUUUUUCCUGCCAUCCUGAGUUUCCCACUUGAUUACCCGUUAAGUCCCCCAAAGAUGAGAUUUACCUGUGAGAUGUUUCAUCCCAACAGUAAGUGCUUUUGGAAGUAGUUUUUGUGGUACCAGGAUAGGUACG